ensembl:lncRNA
AUUUUUGCUCCUUGGUUUUUCUUGAUCAUAGCUGUUAUGUGCUUGGUCUAUGUUGUCUAUGAUGCAGUAAGUACCCUGUACUAGCUUAUAAUAUUCCCAUACCAAAGUCAUGGGGAAACCAACAUUAUUUUGUUUUGGGUUUAUUUAUACUAUAUUCUGCAUACAGUACUUUAAAUGCCAAUUACAGUGCAAUCUUUAUUUAUUGUAAAAUUUUUAAAAUGUACUUAUGUACUAAUUUGCCCUCGUAGCAUGUUAUAUUUUGUGUGUUUUAUACUUUUGUAAUUUUAGGUCAGUUUUGUUCCUUGGCAGCAUCUGGAGUAUUAACCUUCUGACAUUUUCUUGUGUUUUUAAAAAUAAGAACAUCUAACUCAUUAAAUGCCAAAAAAAAAUAAAAUCCCAUUAUCAGUGAUUGAAAGGUUUACAUGUACCCAGAAAACCAUAAUCAUCUCUCAGAAGAGUGCUGAGAUCAAUGCAUUAUUGUGUGCCUAUAUUGAUGUAGUCGAGUCCUAGAGAGCUCUGUAUUUUGUUAUUGACUAUAAUAAUUAGUGUAAUUAGACUUGUAAACUGAUGGUAUCAAGGUAAAUAUAUUUUUGCCAAAGCUCUGGCCUUCAGAAACUCAUCCUUUCAUCUAAAUGUGUCAUUUGACCCACUGUGACAUCACAUCUGCACUUUCCGAGACCGUUAAAGCAGGUGUGAGUGAGCGGCUUUCUGAUGCUCUGAUGCUUCUCUGUAUGUCACACGCAUCCCUGACACAGAAAUUCCAGUCACCUGAAGCAAACUGCCCUUUGUCCUCAAUGAAAAUGUUUAACAGGAAAACUUUUUUAAAGGAUAUUUUGCAUAUUACCUGCCUUGUUCUUAUCGAACUUGAGAUGUUGACAUUUUCUAGCCUUGUUUCUUUGGCUACAAUCAUUCAGUAUUUGUGUCAAAAUUGAAAAGUGCCCUAAUAGAAUGUGUUUGAAUGUUAUCCUUGCACAAUUCUUUACAUUGAAAGACGAGAUGUUUUACCUCACUGUUGGACAUACAUUCCAAGCUUUUCAACUUUAGAAGAAAGAAUAAUCAUGUUUUCCUGUCUUGUAAAUUUUAGAUUAUUUCAUAUACAUUGUAUUAAAACUGCCAUAUCAAUUUUAAUGUAUAGAUUUUGCAAAUACUAUGCUAUAUGUAAUACCUAACUGUAUCUGUAGUGUAUAUGUAAUAUAUUUAUGCCCAAUAAAUGUUUUAAUUCUUUCUGACUUAAGUAGGAUUGUUCAGCCUUGAGUAGGAUUACUUUUAUUGUUGCUCCUUUUAAACACUCAACACCUCAAAAAGCUUCAGCAUAAGUGUCUUUAGCAGCCACAGGAGGUGAGACCAAGCAAGUGACAUAGUACAUGAUGCUUGAUGUCACCUGUUUCAUGGUGGUUGAGGUCUUGCAGGAGCACCCCCUUCAAUCUCAUCACUGAUAUCCCAAAGUAACUCAAAUCCAGGCUACUUCUUUAGUCAGUCUCUGUGUAUACUUAGUUAUUAGCUUAAUACUUUAUCUGCUGCUAGAAGUCAGGAGUACAGGUCUCCCUGUGUCACCCAUUACUGAGUGUUUGCUGCCCCAUAAUGAACCCAUACACUUUUGAACUCUUUCCUCCUUUGGGUCUCACUCAGCAACAGGAACGAACUAGUGCUCUUCUUCUAUGAGACUACAGGAAAGAAAUCACAGUAGUUAAGUGGGUAAGCCUAUGCGGGGCAGAACCUGGUGAUGGGUUCAUUGUUAUGGUUAGGUUGUUUCACUAGUAAGCGCCCCUUCUCCUUGCUCCAUGGGGAAAGUGUUUGUGACUCACACCUCCCUUUCUGUGUCAUGACUGAAAAAAAAUGACAAGUUGUACAAGAAUCAAGCUUUACAUGGAACUGACACUGCAGAAAAUAUAGUAAAGGAUUUGUUUUUCCACAAGACCAGGAACAUGGAUAAAAGGUUAUUGACACUAGAAAUUUGGAAAGCUGACCAGGGAACCCAGAAUGCCUAUUUGUCAAGAGGGAAAAUGAGCGCCAAUGGAAAAUGAGUGCAGAAUUCUCAAUGCAGUGUCCUGAAGGCUAAGAAACUGAUGGCUGUGUCUGUCUUCCCCCAGAAGUGAGAGUGAAGAAUAGAAUGGGUAGAAAGAUGCUUAGCUCUAUCAUAUCCCCACCAUUUUACAUUGCCCCUCCUUACCCUCACCUCAGCCCAGAAGUCUAUCCUAAG